rnacentral:rRNA from 1 species
CACGUAGGGGGCAAGCGUUGUCCGGAUUUAUUGGGCGUAAAGAGCUCGUAGGCGGUUCGGUAAGUCGGGUGUGAAACCUCCAGGCUCAACCUGGAGACGCCACCCGAUACUGCUGUGACUAGAGUCCGGUAGGGGAGCGUGGAAUUCCUGGUGUAGCGGUGGAAUGCGCAGAUAUCAGGAGGAACACCAAUGGCGAAGGCAGAUCUCUGGGCCGUAACUGACGCUGAGGAGCGAAAGCAUGGGGAGCGAACAGG